CUCGUCCCCUGCAGUCCUCAGGCAGCAGGUUGCCCUUCUGCAAUCAGCUUACUUCUGGAAGCCACUGUAGAUACUCAGCCUAAUUUGAUUUUCCAUGUGUAAAGAUAUGAAGAACCUGAGACUCACCUUGCUUAAGUGACUUGAGCAGCUUCAUGCAUCUUAGAAAACUGCAAAUUAGAACAGCAGAGCUGUGCCUCUGGCCAUUUCCUGGAACUACAGAGGAGCAACUUGCCCCUGGUUUCCAGUGGGUGAUGUUCCUCUUCUGCCACAGCCCCCAGCGAUGUUGAUGUGAUUGCCAUCAGAGCUCAGAAGCACAGAGCAGAAUCAUCCCCUGGAGGAGGAU
rnacentral:lncRNA from 1 species